UACCUCCCCUUCCACUCUCCUUUCCUACUCACUCCCUCUCCUCAUCCCCCUCCCAUUCUGUGGGAAGCCGCCUAUGAUGGCGCCCAUUUCCUGCUUCCGGGUUCUUCCCGGCCUGAACAAGCCCGCCAAAUUGUCAUAUCUGCCCAGUUACCCGUGACGCUAGCCUAUCAGCUUGUUAGGCGCGCUUCUCUGUGAUUGGAUACUGCUUCCCCUUAUAAGAGGUUGUUCCUGCCCCCAACGGCGGAAGAGGAACCAACGUUGAGGGUGGCGGACCUUGUUAGGUCCGGUUCGCUGUACGUAAUAAAGUUUGAGAGCUGAUCCUGCUCGAGUUUGGCCUCCUGUCUUCCGCGGCUCCGGUCAUCUGGUGGCCCCCGUACGGGGAAUAAAAGACUCAGCAACGUGCCUCUUCGGCCGGGAGGUGCGAUUGCUGUCGCCUGCGGUACGACGGAGGACCUGGCCCAAUAACAGCGGAAGGCCGCGAGCACCUCUUCUCUUCACCCUGAUCAGCUACGUGAGAUACAGCGGUUCCCGGGACAGGAACCAGGCUGCGAACCGCUGUGGGUCCCGGAAAGAUUGACGCGAGCAGUAAACUCCCCACCAAUUCCUGAUAAAGCACAGGAGGAUAAGCCCGCGGACACAAGUCAACUCGACCCUUCUGGGACCGACGCUCAGCGCCCGAGACCAUCUACAAACUAAAAUGUCUGGUUUGGAGCUUUUUCUAUUCUGUGGGUUCCUAUUAAUCACCCCUGUGAUAUGCUCAGAUUCCACAGAACCACCACAAUAUCUUUGGGGUCCUUGGCACCACCCGCCCACAUUGGCACCUUUUUCGGCGGCCUCGCCCGCCUCACCCAGGGUUUACACCAUCAAUCAAACAGUCCUUGAUUAUGACCCACCCGCUUAACUCCGGUCGACCCUCCAUUUCUCUUCCUUCUGUCCCACGAUUACCUCUUUUUGGAUCCUAAUUGCCAUGGCUAUCCUAGUAGGGCUUGUGGUUAUUAAAUGCUUGUUAGAUCGCCUCAUACAAACUCAGCAGCAGGUUAAGAUCACAGCUAUGGCAGCCAUGCAAAUGGCAGCAGGUGGCCCAUCAGGCCAGCAGGCCGCCGCAUAUCUCCUUCACAUUGCAGAACAUCAGCUAUAAGAGCUGAGUGGGCAAGCCAAUGACGGGUAAGACGGGAAAAGCCCUCCCGGUCAACCUAAGACAGGCUCCACUCAGAUAUACAUGGCCUAUAAGGCCAGGGGUCCCUUCUGGAGUCAAAUUAUUGGCAUUGAGAUGCGAGACCAAGGGUACUGCAGUGCCAUCCGCCCCAAAGGUUGGGGGGAAGGCAGGAAUGAAUGUCUAUAUGCAUCCAGGUUCGGUUCACAAAAGCCUGGCCCUGCGAAAAAAUGAACCACUCACCUUGAGCAUGGUCCUGGCGCAAGGAUAUGCACAAAACAGGGUGAUGCACAGCAGGGUAUAGACCUCUACAUUCUCUCAUGCCUCGGCCUACAAGGUAGGCCCACUCCUAGGUGUCUAACAGCAACAAGGUCAUAGACACCUUGGAGGGACCCACAGACCAUCCUAUUUUAAUAAAUAAAAAAAGGGGGAGAUGUGGGAAGCCGCCUAUGAUGGCGCCCAUUUCCUGCUUCCGGGUUCUUCCCGGCCUGAACAAGCCCGCCAAAUUGUCAUAUCUGCCCAGUUACCCGUGACGCUAGCCUAUCAGCUUGUUAGGCACGCUUCUCUGUGAUUGGAUACUGCUUCCCCUUAUAAGAGGUUGUUCCUGCCCCCAAUGGCGGAAGAGGAACCAACGUUGCGGGUGGCGGACCUUGUUAGGUCCGGUUCGCUGUACGUAAUAAAGUUUGAGAGCUGA